rnacentral:tRNA from 1 species
GUUUCUGAGGUGUAAAUGGUUAAGCGUUUGGCUACUAACCAAAAUGUUGGUGGUUUGAAUCCACCUAGAGGCA